GAGACCUCAGGUCAGGCGGGGCUACCCGC
rnacentral:rRNA from 1 species